rnacentral:rRNA from 1 species
AACGAACGCUGGCGGCAUGCCUAACACAUGCAAGUCGAACGAACCCUUCGGGGUUAGUGGCGCACGGGUGCGUAACGCGUGGGAAUCUGCCCUUUGCUUCGGAAUAACUCAGGGAAACUUGUGCUAAUACCGGAUGAUGUCUUCGGACCAAAGAUUUAUCGGCAAGGGAUGAGCCCGCGUAGGAUUAGGUAGUUGGUGGGGUAAAGGCCUACCAAGCCGACGAUCCUUAGCUGGUCUGAGAGGAUGAUCAGCCACACUGGGACUGAGACACGGCCCAGACUCCUACGGGAGGCAGCAGUGGGGAAUAUUGGACAAUGGGCGCAAGCCUGAUCCAGCAAUGCCGCGUGAGUGAUGAAGGCCCUCGGGUCGUAAAGCUCUUUUACCAGGGAUGAUAAUGAAAUUACCUGGAGAAUAAGCUCCGGCUAACUCCGUG